rnacentral:piRNA from 1 species
UCCAACGGUGACUUUCUUUUUCCAGAC